rnacentral:rRNA from 1 species
GGGGAUUAGUGGCGAACGGGUGAGUAACACGUGGGCAAUCUGCCCUGCACUCUGGGACAAGCCCUGGAAACGGGGUCUAAUACCGGAUACUGAUCCGCCUGGGCAUCCAGGCGGUUCGAAAGCUCCGGCGGUGCAGGAUGAGCCCGCGGCCUAUCAGCUUGUUGGUGAGGUAGUGGCUCACCAAGGCGACGACGGGUAGCCGGCCUGAGAGGGCGACCGGCCACACUGGGACUGAGACACGGCCCAGACUCCUACGGGAGGCAGCAGUGGGGAAUAUUGCACAAUGGGCGAAAGCCUGAUGCAGCGACGCCGCGUGAGGGAUGACGGCCUUCGGGUUGUAAACCUCUUUCAGCAGGGAAGAAGCGAAAGUGACGGUACCUGCAGAAGAAGCGCCGGCUAACUACGUGCCAGCAGCCGCGGUAAUACGUAGGGCGCAAGCGUUGUCCGGAAUUAUUGGGCGUAAAGAGCUCGUAGGCGGCU